UCCUGCCAGCACAUAGUACCCUAAAAAUAACAGUAAUAUGAAUAUUGAGUACUCCUGCCCUGAGAGCAGUGCAUAGUUUAGUAAAAUAACGGUAAUAUGAAUAUUGAGUACUCCUGCCCGGAGAGCAGCACAUAAUUUAGUAAAAUAACAGUAAUAUGAAUAUUGAGUACUUCUGCCCUGAGAGCAGCGCAUAGUUGAGUAAAAUAACAGUAAUAUGAAGAUUGAGUACUCCUGCCCUGAGAGCAGCGCAUAGUUUAGUAAAAUAACAGUAAUAUGAAUAUUGAGUGCUCCUGCCCUGAGAGCAGUGCGUAGUUUAUUAAAAUAAGAGUAAUAUGAAUAUUGAGUACUCCUGCCCUGAGAGCAGCACAUAGUUUAGUAAAAUAACAGUAAUAUGAAUAUUGAGUACUCCUGCCCUGAGAGCAGCACAUAGUUUAUUAAAAUAACAGUAAUAUGAAUAUUGAGUGCUCCUGCCCUGAGAGCAGCACAUAGUUUAUUAAAAUAACAGUAAUAUGAAUAUUGAGUACUCCUGCCCUGAGAGCAGUGCAUAGUUUAGUAAAAUAACAGUUAUAUGAAUUUUGAUUACUCCUGCCAGCACAUAGUACCCUAAAAAUAACAGUAAUAUGAAUAUUGAGUACUCCUGCCCUGAGAGCAUGCAUAGUUUAAUAAAAUAACAGUAAUAUGAAUUUUGAUUACUCCUGCCCUGAGAGCAGUGCAUAUUUAGUAAAAAUAACAGUAAUAUGAAUAUUGAGUACUCCUGCCCUGAGAGCAGCACAUAGUUUAGUAAAAAUAACAGUAAUAUGAAUAUUGAGUACUCCUGCCCUGAGAGCAGCACAUAGUUUAUUAAAAUAACAGUAAUAUGAAUAUUGAGU
ensembl:lncRNA